CCAAUAGCGUAUAUUAAAGUUGUUGCAGUUAAAAAGCUCGUAGUUGAACUUCGGGGUCUACCCAUUGGUCAGGCUUAAUUGUCUGCACUGGUGAGAUGGAUCUCUACCUUCUGAGGAACUUUCAUGCCAUUUAUUUGGUGUGAUGGGAAAUCAGGACUGUUACUUUGAAAAAAUUAGAGUGUUUAAAGCAGACUAUCGUCUGAAUACAUUAGCAUGGAAUAAUGAAAUAGGACGGACUGAUUCUAUUUCGUUGGUUUCUAGGAUCACCGUAAUGAUUAAUAGGGAUAGUUGGGGGCACUAGUGUUCAAUUGUCAGAGGUGAAAUUCUUGGAUUUAUUGAAGACUAACUACUGCGAAAGCAUUUGCCAAGGAUGUUUUCAUUAAUCAAGAACGAAAGUUAGGGGAUCGAAGACGAUCAGAUACCGUCGUAGUCUUAACCAUAAACUAUGCCGACUAGGGAUCGGACGAAGUUAAUUUUAUAAUGACGCGUUCGGCACCUUACG
rnacentral:rRNA from 1 species